CGGGGUGCAGCAGGCGCGAAACCUUUUCAAUGCACGCAAGUGUGAGAAGGGAAUUCCAAGUGCUCAAGUUUUACUUGGGCUUUUGCCAAGUGUAAAAAGCUUGGCGAAUAAGGGGUGGGUAAGACUGGUGCCAGCCGCCGCGGUAACACCAGCGCCUCGAGUGGGGAUCACGAUUAUUGGGUCUAAAGCGUCCGUAGCAGGCUUUGUAAAUGCUUUGUGAAAUCGGCAGGCAUAACCUGUCGGCGUGCAGAGUACACUGCAGAGCUUGAGACCGGGAGAUGUCAGAAGUAUUCCUAGGGUACCGGUAAAAUGGGUUAAUCCUGGGAGGACUACCGAUGGCGAAGGCAUCUGACAAGAACGGUUCUGACUGUGAGGGACGAAAGCUAGGGGAGCAAAACGGAUUAGAUACCCGAGUAGUCCUAGCCGUAAACGCUGUGAGCAAGGUAUUGCGCCUCCCACGAGGAUGCGCAGUGUCGAAAUGAAGAUGUUAAGCUCACCACCAGGGAAGUACGGUCGCAAGGCUGAAACUUUAAGGAAUUGGCGGGGGAGCAC
rnacentral:rRNA from 1 species